UGGGGAAAUUGCACAAUGGGCGAAAGCCUGAUGCAGCGACGCCGCGUGAGGGAUGACGGCCUUUGGGUUGUAAACCUCUUUCAGCAGGGAAGAAGCGAAAGUGACGGUACCUGCAGAAGAAGCGCCGGCUAACUACGUGCCAGCAGCCGCGGUAAUACGUAGGGCGCAAGCGUUGUCCGGAAUUAUUGGGCGUAAAGAGCUCGUAGGCGGUUAAGUCGCGUCUGCUGUGGAAAAACUCGAGGCUCAACCUCGGGACUUGCAGUGGGUACGGGCUGACUAGAUGCGGUAGGGGUGACUGGAAUUCCUGGUGUAGCGGUGGAAUGCGCAGAUAUCAGGAGGAACACCGAUGGCGAAGGCAGGUCACUGGGCCGCAACUGACGCUGAGGAGCGAAAGCAUGGGGGACGAACAGGGGUUAGAUACCCUGGUAGUCCAUGCCGUAAACGUUGGGCACUAGGUGUGGGGUCCAUUUCCACGGAUUCCGUGCCGCAGCAAACGCAUUAAGUGCCCCGCCUGGGGAGUACGGCCGCAAGGCUAAAACUCAAAGGAAUUGACGGGGUC
rnacentral:rRNA from 1 species